GUUUAUGGCCAUGCCACCCUGAACAAGCCCAAUCCUGUCUGAUCGCGGAAGCUAAGCAGGGUCAGGCCUGGUUAGUACUUGGACAGACCACUUAGGAAGACUAGAUAUUGUAGGCA
rnacentral:rRNA from 1 species